ACGGUGACGCCACCACCUCCCCGGGCAACCCGUCCCAGUGCCUGACUGCUCUCUCUGAGAAGAAAUGUCUCCUCAUUUCCAACCUGAACCUCCCCUGGCGCAACUUGAGGCCGUUCCCCCUGGUCCUAUCACCGGUUGCCUCGAUUCUUGACAAUCAGUUCUCACUAAUAAACUUCUGACAACCGAUUCCUGACAAGCAGUUCUCAACAACCAAUUCUUACCAAUCGAUUCUCACCGCUCCUUACCCAGCCACAAAGCUCUGCUCCCGGCCCCGAGGCCCCAGCAGCACCCGUCCCGCUGGCACGGCACACCAACCACCGCCUGCCCCUCGCAGCUCCAAACGUUUCCCUGCCGUGCCCCCAAAAUACCGCUGCUGCUGCUCCUUAUGGGCACCGCCACGUCCGCGGUACCUCAGGAAGAAGCGGGAGAGCAACAGGGUUAAACAUUUACAACAGUGGUGCGAUUGCCAGGAAGGAUGAAGUCGGUAACCCAAGGGAGAGGCAGGGCGGCUGUAACGCCGUUCUCGCCUCAGCGACUGCCCAGAAGGGAGAAAGCGGCUCCUACAGGGCCCUCACCUGCCCCAGCACAAAGAAACCGUCCCUUCUUUUCCUCCUGCAAAGAAAUCGGCCCAGCAGUGGCAGCGUGAGGCUGUCAGCCGCGGGCUGUUCUGUACAGAUCCUUUUCUAAGAUCAAGCUGGCCGCCUGAACCUUUUUAACUCAAAGCAACGUCCCACCUGACAGGAAAGAAGUCACAGAAUUAAAGAGACCGGUGAAAAAACAA